GUAUCUUCAUCUUGUUGUGUUUAUUUUGAAUUUAUGAAUUUUUUGGGUUGUGGGUACUUCCCAAAGCCGGUACAGGCCGGUUGAGGGGUCAAUGUGUUAAUCUGAAAAAACUUCAAGCUAAUUCAAGAUAAAUAGUUUAUCUUAUAAUUCAGCUGAAAAUAUUAAGGAAAAACAUCGUUCUGGGUAUUAAUUUUCGCUUUAAAGUGUUUCUGAAGCGAAAAUCGUGUUGCGUUUAUAUUCUUACGAUGUCUGAUUACAACAAAUAGUUAGUAAAGAGUCAUAUAAAACUCUUCGGGAGGCAACAGGAGCGAAUUUGGAUCGAAAGGAGCAGUGCAUUCCCUUGGAGCUGAACGGGUGAGAGUCGUUUGCACGAUGCAGGGAGAAAUGAGUGGAUUAUAAAAUGAUCUGUUGGAUCUACCUUCAGAGAGGAUAAUCACGGCUUCCAGGGCAGUUUUUCAGAAGUCUAGAACUUGUGAUGCUGGGCUUCUGUUGAUGUGCACUUAAGGGCCCAUGAGAAAGUGUAUUAACAAACAUUCUCUAGUUUUGUAAGAAUCAUUGAGAGGCACAUUAAUGCUACAGGGUCUGUACUCGAUUUCAAUUCAACAUCAGCUUAGUUUAUGUAAGGGACUCAUCUUCAUUAAUUUUCAUCAAAUAAUACAGUAAAUACAGAGCAAAGAGACACUGGCCAAAUAUACAAGCUUUAGUGAUAUCGCUCUCAUUUCAUCAUCAUAAUCUUAUGGCCUCAGCCGAGAGGGUUCAAGAUGACCCCGAGGUCUUUUAUUGCACUUGGCAUGUCCAUUACAAACUCACCAUGAUUGUGCAUUGCAUAAAAUUAAAGGUUUACUCACUCAUUUCAAAUUUCAGUUGCUCAGAAAACUUAGAUUGGCUGUACAGCAUACAUACCCCAUUUCUUUAGCAUAGUCUUGUGCAAAAUUUUCUUGAUUGAGAAUAUCCACAAGUUUAUUGAUUCCAAUAUUUAUUCACCAUUUGGCAGUUUGGGAAGCAGUGACUCCAAUUUAUAAAAGGCUGCUUGUUUGAUACAAAGUCACAAAUGUGGCCAUGAAUAGUCACUAACUUUUGAGUGUCUAGCCAGUGUAUGUGCUUUAGUCUGUUAUGCAAUAAGCUUUUAUUUUCAAGCUGAUAACAGUCAAUUCAGGCUUUAUUUCAUUUAAAUUUAAAUUUUGUGACUGAAAAGUUCUUUCUUUGAUCCUCGACGUCUGCAUUUUGUCUUUGAUUAGCCAGAAAUACUAUUAUUUUUUAAUUGGAUCACUGUUUUCAUUUCUUCCUUGUUUUUUUUGCCAUUGCUGAUGACUCUACCAUUGCUGAUGACUCUAUUUUAAACUUAUCCCUUGGUUGCACUUCGUUAGCUUCUAACUUCAAUCUUGUGAAGGGGGGCAAUGGCAAAAAUGGUUUUAUUAAAAAACAUUCUACUGCUAAUAGUAUAGAUACAGGAGAAGAAAUUAUUUGCAUACUGUACUAUGAAAAGUUGAGGGCGAGGGUCAACAUGAUGGAUUAUAGUCUUUUUCACCUUUCAUAUGACAGCAAGCUUAGCCAUGGUGGACUAGCAAGGUAAGUCUAGGUAACUCUAUAGCCUUCUUUCUCCAUCUAAGGUGGACCUUGGGGUGGACCGCUGUGGUCCCCUAAUCUCUGAGAUUUUGUAUGAAAACAUAAAAAAGGACAUUGGAUCUCCUUUCCAUGAAAUCGUCAUACUAGCCACCCUAGAAACACUUGAUCCCCCUAUUUGUAGCCCUAAGUGGAAAAACAAACUUCUUUGUGUAGUCACCUGGGUAGAUGCACAUCCCCUUCUAACUCUGAAGGUGAAAUAUAAUAAAAACAGUUUGAUUUAGCAGCAGGGCUAUAGCUUAGAACAAGGGGGAGGAAACUUUUCCCCCCUGUUUAGCCAAAUGGACAUACAUGAAAAAAUGUGUGCCCCCCCCAAAACACCACAAAAUAGUAGGAAUCAAUGAUGCUUCAUGACUGAAAUUAUCAUCCAAAUCCUAGGAAAUUUGAACUCAGUUUGAGUUGAUAUAGUUCGAGUUACCAGGGCUCCUAUCAAAUAAAAACAAUGGAACUGCACGUUUUAAUAGGAUGGCUGUAUUGAUAUUUUAGAUCAUUUAUGGUAGAAAAUAAGGGUCUAUUUGGUAUCAUCAGAUUGCAUGGUUUUCUGUCAGUGAAUACACAAAAAAAGUCCUCUCUUUUGUACCCUACAUAAAUUUAACCCCAGAAUAACAAAAGAACAAACAACAAUUUGUAUUAAUACUCUGCUUCUGGCAGGAUAUGGAAUAAAAUCACUCCUAGGAAUA